CACGGGCACGCCGGGUGGGCCGAUGCGGCGGCGGCAGCGCCGGGAGCGGGAGCGCCGGGAACACCGGGAACACCGGGAUAGCAGGGAUCGCCAUGGAGUACGUCAGCCCCGAGCAGCUCGCCGGCUUCAGCAAGUACAAGUACAGCGCCGUGGACAGCAACCCCCUGUCCCUGUACGUGAUGCAUCCCUUCUGGAACACCAUCGUCAAGAUCUUCCCCACCUGGCUGGCCCCAAACUUGAUCACCUUCUCUGGCUUCCUGCUCCUUGUCUUCAACUUCUUCCUCAUGGCGUACUUCGACCCGGACUUCUACGCCUCCGCUCCUGACCACCAGCACGUUCCCAACGGAGUGUGGAUCGUUGUGGGGCUCCUCAACUUCAUGGCCUACACGUUAGAUGGAGUGGACGGGAAGCAGGCGCGCCGGACCAACUCCAGCACCCCCCUGGGGGAGCUCUUCGACCACGGGCUGGACAGCUGGGCCUGCGUGUACUUCGUGGUGACCGUCUACUCCACCUUCGGCCGCGGCUCCACCGGCGUCAGCGUCUUCGUCCUCUACCUCCUGCUCUGGGUGGUCUUGUUCUCCUUCAUCCUCUCCCACUGGGAGAAGUACAACACGGGCAUUCUGUUCCUGCCCUGGGGAUAUGACAUCAGCCAGGUGACCAUUUCAAUUGUCUACAUAGUGACAGCCUUUGUGGGAGUUGAGGCCUGGUAUGCACCUUUCCUGUUUAAUUUCUUAUAUAGAGACCUAUUCACUGCAAUGAUUAUUGCCUGUGCUCUCACUGUGACGCUGCCCAUGAGCCUGUACAACUUCUACAAGGCCUAUAAAAGCAACACCUUGAAGCACCACUCUGUGUAUGAGAUCCUGCUGCCCCUCGUGUCCCCGGUGCUGCUGUUCCUGCUCUGCACCACGUGGAUCUUCCUGUCCCCCUCUGACAUCCUGGAGGUCCAGCCCAGGCUCUUCUACUUCAUGGUUGGAACAGCCUUUGCCAACAUCUCUUGCCAGCUGAUCGUGUGCCAGAUGAGCAGCACGCGGUGCCGGCCCCUGCACUGGAUGCUGCUGCCCAUCGCGGCCGCGCUGCUGCUCGUCGCCUCGGGGCUGGCGGCCCACAGCGAGACGCUGCUGCUCUACCUGCUGACGGCCUUCCUCACCCUGGCACACAUCCACUACGGCGUGCUCGUGGUGAGCCAGCUGAGCAGGCACUUCAACAUCCGGCCCUUCUCCCUCAAGAAGCCCACCCCGGACUGACUAGGGCUGGAGGAGGAGAGAGUGGGCCUGCGCUCCGCAGAGGGACUGUAAAUACCUGCUGCAAACCCCUGUAAAUACUUCGGCCAUCCCACAGACCCAGCCUCCUCCCCCUGGACGGGCACCGGGGCUGGGACACGCCGGGGACACUCCCACCCUCCUCUGGCACCGCAAAGGGGCUUCGCCUGGAGCUGGAGCGGGAGGAGCCUCCAGGUCACUGCUACUGUAUCUGAGACCAGCUGAAUGUUCCCAGGGAAACGUCCAACGCCGGCUCUUGCUCAGGUAAAGCUGGACAGGGGAUGCAAAGGCUUUACCUGAGCAAAGCCCCUCUGGGCCUGUCACCAAAACCAACACGGGGCUCGUUUCUCCCAGGUCGGGGGAACAUCCUGGUGGUGGGGGGAGUUCCUGGCUGUCCCCAGCCCUGCUGGACAGCCCUCGGCCUGGGCUGGUACCUCUGGGGCACGUGGUGACAGCUCUCCCACGUUCUCUCCUGCCUUCCUGCAUUUGGGCAAAUAUUGCACCUUUUUUAAGAGGGGGGAAAGAAAAAAAACCCAGACACACACAAAACUUGUAGUUAAAUCCUGACUGAUGGGGAGGGGGAGGGCUUAAAAAGUCAGGUCUCAAUUUCCUGUAAGAGUGGGACUGUGUCUUCUGCCUGCCCUGCUCGAGCUGUGGGUGCCUGGGACCACAUCUCAGCCACAUCCUUGCCUGUCCGUGUGUGUUCCCAGUCCAGGAAUGGGGUCUGAGCUCCCAGUGGCCACGGGAAGUGUCUGAGCCCACAGGGCUGAGCUCCCACGUCUUCCUCCCUCCCAGCAGGGCUGUGCUGUUGUGGUCGGCUCUGCGGGUCCUUGGCCGCCUGAGCCACCACCCCCAGGCACAGCCCGGCCCUUCCCACCAGCACUUCCACCCGGAGCCUCGUGUUGGUUGUGUGUGCACCUUCAGAGCCCUCACUGGGGGGGGAGGGUGUGGUGGGAACCCUCCCCAGUCCCACUGUCUCCUCGUCCCCAGCGGCCGCGUGUCUCAUCCAGGGAUCUCUUUGUUUACUGUCCGCUUGUCCAAGACGUGUGUGCAUUGAUCUGACUUUUUUAAUUUGUUUUUACGGUUGAGUUCGAGUGGGGUGGUGAAGACUGAAUGCUGAUUUUUCUUUUCCUGUUGGCUUGAUUUAAUGCAGACCUGUGCUUGAAUGAAGAGUGUAGCUUAAAGCCAGGCUCUGGAAAGGCUGCAUCCGGAAGCGAACAAGCACAGCAGAUAGUGCAGGUGUAACUGCCAUGGGAACAAAGUCCUUCAGACUCUGAUUACUGUGCAACGUGGGGCACAACAGCCUGGGCAGGGCGUUUUCCUUCUGCAGGAGGAGGCUCCUGCUGCUCUAGGAAACCUCCAACGUGUGAGUUACAGCAGCGAGUAACUGCUGUCUGAUGGGUUUGCUUUUGUAACUUGGAAUCACUGUCACGCAGGAGACGAGACUUGAAACCCUGAGAUUGAGCUCGUGAGUCCGUGGGGCUCAACUCGGGGCCACUUGGUCACCCCUUGGUCGGCCCAUGGUCACAUGGUGCGGCCUGUGAGGAGCAACUGGGGCCUCCCCCAGGGCUGAGGGAUGAACAGGUACCUCCCGAGGGCUGAGGAACGAACAGGUACCUCCCCCAGGGCUGAGGAGUGAGCAGGUACCUCCUGAGGGCUGAGAAUGAACAGGUACCUCCCCAGGGCUGAGAAUGAACAGGCACCUCCUGAGGGCUGAGAAUGAACAGGUGCCUCCCCCAGGGCUGAGAAUGAACAGGUACCUCCUGAGGGCUGAGGGAUGAACAGGUACCUCCCCCUGGGCUGAGGAACAAACAGGUACCUCCCCCAGGGCUGAGAAUGAACAGGUACCUCCCCCAGGGCUGAGGGAUGAACAGGUACCUCCCCCUGGGCUGAGAAUGAACAGGUACCUCCUCCCUGGGCUGAGGAAUGAGCAGGUACCUCCUCCCUGGGCUGAGAAUGAACAGGUACCUCCCCCAGGGCUGAGGAGUGAGCAGGUACCUCCUGAGGGCUGAGGAACAAACAGGUACCUCCCCCAGGGCUGAGAAUGAACAGGUACCUCCCCCAGGGCUGAGGAGUGAGCAGGUACCUCCUGAGGGCUGAGAAUGAACAGGUACCUCCCCCAGGGCUGAGGGAUGAACAGGUACCUCCUGAGGGCUGAGGAACAAACAGGUACCUCCCCCUGGGCUGAGAAUGAACAGGUACCUCCCGAGGGCUCAGGAACAAACAGGUACCUCCCCCUGGGCUGAGGGAUGAACAGGUACCUCCUGAGGGCUGAGGGAUGAACAGGUACCUCCCCCUGGGCUGAGAAUGAACAGGUACCUCCCCCUGGGCUGAGAAUGAACAGGUAUCUCCCCCCUGGGCUGAGGAACAAACAUGUACCUCCUGAGGGCUGAGAAUGAACAGGUACCUCCUGAGGGCUGCCAUCCAUCGUGGGAGACUCUGGAUGUCCCUGGGAGGCUCUGGAUGUCCCUGGGAGGCUCUGGCUGUCCGUGUGCUCACGUGUCCAUGUGGCUGCGACGUGGCCGGGAAAGGGGGCGGGUGGUUUUCAGAGUUUAUUUAAUAUAAAGUCCCUUCCUCCCAUCCCUUUUACUGAUGUUGUACAGAGAAAAAAAAAAAAAAAAACCCUCAGUGGGCAAAUGAACCAGGCUGCACUUGAGUUUUUGGCUGUUUAAUGUUGUUCACUGAAACAUAAUUAUGGAGAUAAAUUUCAGUGCCCGGGAAUCGGAGGGAACCUUAAACUGGGACACACUUCCCUGGGACACGGUUGGAUGGCAGAGCGUGGGGGUUGGAUGGUUUCCUGUCUGGUUGUGUGUUUGCAGGGCCAGGGGAGGACUGAGCUGUUCCCCCUGGGCUCCCAAACCCGGCCCUUGCCUGGUCCUGGCUCAUCCCACGGGCAUGGCUGGGCCCGCAGGACUGGGAUGCUGCUGGUGCUGGGAGGAGUUGUCUGAACUCAAACCUCAGUGUGUGGGAGAAACAUCUCUCUCCCGAACUGGAAUUGCUUCCUCUGCACAGGCUUUGUCUCUGGGGAGUCCUGGCCUUUUGGUGCCUUAACUGAUUGCACCUUGACACUAAAAAAACAAGUCUCCUUAAAUCAGUGCUGGGUCGGGCUGGUUGUCCCUGGUGCCACCAGAGCAGGGAGGGAGCAGAGCCCACCUCAGUGAUCCGUGCUGCUGAGGAGGGGGAGUUCUCCUUGGGCUGGUGGAAAUCCAGUGAUUUCUGCUCCUGGAUCCUGAGAGGGGAAUGGAAACGAGCAGAGAGCAAAGCCCGUGGGCAGGGUGGGGUGUGGCAGCUGAGGAACAACCCGUUUAUCCAUCACUGGUGUUGGGUCUGAAGGAUAAAUGUGUUCCUGGGUAACAGCUCCUGAGGGGGAUGUCCCAGGGGGGAGGUCACUGGCUGGGCUCUGUCCUCCCCAGGGGAUGUGCUCCUGGGGAUGGAGGGCACCUGUCCUGGCUCCUCAGCUCCUCAGCUGACCUGUGCUGUCUGUUCUUCCAGGGAUAAUGUUAGUUCAGGUUGCUCCAAGCCUUGGACACUUCCAGGGAUCCAGGGGCAGCCACAACUUCUCUGCCCAACCUGGGCCAGGGCCUCCCCACCCUCAUAGCCCAGAAUUCCUUCCCAAUCUCCCAUCUCUCCCUGCCCUCUGGCAGUGGGAAGCCAUUCCCUGUGUCCUGUCCCUCCAUCCCUUGUCCCCAGUCCCUCCCCAGCUCUCCUGGAGCCCCUGGAUGGGACUUGGCAGCCGCCUCUUCUCACAAAGGUCAGGCACCUGAGCCAGGGGCUCUGCCAGAGCCGGGAGCAGCGCUGGGAGCAGGAGCUCCUGAGGCUCUGGGAGCACCUUCCAGCUCCUUCAGCAGGGCUGAUGUCACCUCCUGGCACAUCGAGGACCUGCCACAGGGACUCGGAGCUGUCCUGAUCUCAGGUCAGCUCUGGGAGGCCCCUAAACUCUUCUCCUCCUUGGGAUAGACCUGGACAAUCCCUAGGGAAGCGGUGCUUUUGGGAAACCAGCCUUGGCUGCUCCUGCCUUUGGCAGCUGUGCUGUGUCAGAGCAGGGCCUGAGGUGACACCGAGGCUGCUCUUGGUGGGACAGGGAGAGGACAAGAGGGAACGGCCUCCAGCUGUGCCAGGAGAGGCUCAGGUUGGAUAUUGGAACAAUUCCUUCCUGGAAAGGGCUGCCCAGCCCUGGCACAGCUGCCCAGGGCAGGGGGGAGUCCCCAUCCCUGCAGGGAUUUAAAAGCCCUGUGGAGGUGGCACUUGGGGACAGGGGUCAGGGGUGGCCUGGGCAGUGCUGGGGACAGUUGGGCUCGAAGGACUCUGAGGGUUUUAUCCAACCCAAAUUAUGGGUGGUGACGACAGGAGCUCUUUGCCUGUGGGAAAGGGUCACUGCUGGUGUGUAGAGGACCCUUUGUCCCACCCGGGUGUGGUCAGACCUGGCUUGGGAGGUCUCUGGGCUGGUCUCCAGGGGAGUGGCCGGGGUGUCCCUGCCCCAGGUUCUCAGGAAUUCGCUGCUCACCCUCCCAGUGUCGUUCAUCCUGUCAGAGCUGGGGCCGUGCUCCAGGCUGGACACUUCAAAAUCCACUUCAAAAUCCACCCCCCUCCCUCCCCAUCUCCCAGCAGGGACACUGCCCUGCCCCUGUCCCCGUCAAAGCCCUGAUGGCUCUCCCCGAGCCCCGGCUCCGGGGGUUCAGGUGCUGCAGUGGGUGUGGGGUCCGGUCCGUUCGAUGCUAUUACUGAAAAUAUUUAUUGUGUUUGAACCAAACGAAAAAAACUAUUAAAGAUCAGUAAAGAAUAAAAUUUUCCACGCCUUUUA